GCUCCGGUAGUAUAGUCCGGUCAAGUAUAUCGGCCUUUCGAGUCGAUGACCCGGGUUCAAAUCCCGGCCGGAGCA
rnacentral:tRNA from 1 species